rnacentral:rRNA from 1 species
AUGAACGCUGGCGGCGUGCCUAAUACCUGCAAGUCGAGCGAACAGAUGAGGAGCUUGCUCCUCUGACGUUAGCGGCGGACGGGUGAGUAACACGUGGAUAACCUACCUAUAAGACUGGGAUAACUUCGGGAAACCGGAGCUAAUACCGGAUAAUAUAUUGAACCGCAUGGUUCAAUAGUGAAAGACGGUUUUGCUGUCACUUAUAGAUGGAUCCGCGCCGCAUUAGCUAGUUGGUAAGGUAACGGCUUACCAAGGCAACGAUGCGUAGCCCACCUGAGAGGGUGAUCGGCCACACUGGAACUGAGACACGGUCCAGACUCCUACGGGAGGCAGCAGUAGGGAAUCUUCCGCAAUGGGCGAAAGCCUGACGGAGCAACGCCGCGUGAGUGAUGAAGGUCUUCGGAUCGUAAAACUCUGUUAUUAGGGAAGAACAAAUGUGUAAGUAACUAUGCACGUCUUGACGGUACCUAAUCAGAAAGCCACGGCUAACUACGUG